GCCCUGGUAGCUCAGCAGGUAGAGCACGCGGCUGUUAACCGCGGUGUCGUAGGUUCGAGUCCUACCCAGGGCG
rnacentral:tRNA from 1 species